AUGCAGUUUUUAGAAGCUGAGCUGCUCGGGGCUCCAGCGUGUGGGGCCGGUGUUGUUCUGCAGGUUCCCCCGGAGCACCGAGGGGCUCCACCGGGGAGACCGCCAGGCCCACCCCCCAGCCGUCUCUCUGGGGCUCACUGCUUCCGCCUGCAGUGGGACGUCACAGGUCCAGGCCCCCAGCCUCUCUUCUCGCCGGAAGUACUCACGGACGUGAGCAGGGAGACGGCUUCUACUACCUUUUGCUUAGCUUUUCAUGAAAAUUACGUCCGGAGAAAGAGAACAAAGUUUGAGCUUACGAUGGCAUCUGACUAGAAGUGGACAAAUUG
rnacentral:lncRNA from 1 species